UCCGGUAUGGUGUAGUGGCUAGCAUUUGUCGCUUUCAAUAGACCAUAAGGUCAUGACAGCGGUCCGACAAGACCCGGGUUCAAUUCCCGGUACCGGAA
rnacentral:tRNA from 1 species